CUUCAACUUUGUGCCACAUCUUGACAAGCCUUAAUCUAAUAUGGGAAAAAAAGAGAAGUGAAAUAACCAGACUAUCAUAGAAUGGCUUGAGUUCGAAGAGACCCUUGAAGGCCAUCUGUUCCCAUUCCCUGCACCGAGAAGAGACAACCAAAGCUCCAUCAGUGCUCGGAGCCCUGUCCAGCCUGACCUUGGCUGUCUGCAGGGAUGGGACACCACCACCUCUCUGGGCAGCUGUGAUAUCCUUAGCACAGUGUCCAUAUGGCUGAUACAAAGCAUAAUAGAAAGGCCAAUUAUCCAAUUACUCCAGAGAGAUGCUUUGUCUUUGCAGAAGGAAG
ensembl:lncRNA